UUACUUCAGUCUGUCUCUUAACGCUUUUCAACGGCUUCUCCCCGCAGCUCCCCUCAGGCGCGUCCGGCGUACUCAUCCCUGCGAGCGGGGGCCCAGGGACGGCUCGUCUGCUUCCUGGCCUGAGUCUGUGCACUUUUUGGGUGUGGGGGUUGCGGUGAUUAAAAAACUUUUGAAAACCAAACAGAAAACAAAACCGCUGAGUAGUUUCUGUAGCUCCCCGACCGCCAGGCUUCUCCGGGGUCGCGGCCCCCGCGGGACCCCCGCAAGCGGCGGCGGCGCCGACCGGAAGUGGGGCGCCGGAAUGGCGGCGUGGAAGCGCGGCCGAGGCGAGGGCGCCGAGUCGUGGGCCUAGGCAGCUGCUGUCCCGCACCCGCCAGUCUCACGAAAUAUGCAGAAAGUUCUUACUGGCUUGGGAUCAGAUCCUUAAUAGUAAGAUCCUUACUCGGAAAUGGAGUUUGAGAGGCCUUAUAAUCCCGCCCGACUUGCAGAGCUCUGCAGUCAAAUAUCUUCCUGUCAGAAGCCAUUCUGGAAGACCAGGACCCACUUGUCCUCUGAAGCACUCCUGAGAGGAGAGAAGAUUCUUGGCCAGGAAUAUCCCAAGGGGUGAAGCUUCUCUAUCUUUGAUUCUCCUAAAAUGGAAAACCUAUGGUCUGGUGUUGUGGUGUAGCAGGUUAAUCCACCACCUGCUGUGCUGGUAUCCCAUAUGGGUUCUGGGUUGAGUCCCAAAUGCUCUACAUCUGAUCCAGCUCCCUGCUAAUGCAUCUGUGGAAGCAACAGAGGAUAGCCCAAGUGAUUGGGACUCUGCAUUCACGUGGGACACCCGAAAGAAUCCCCGGGCUCCUGAAUUAUGGCCUGGCCCAGCACUGGCCAUUGUAGCCAUCUGUGGAGUGAACCAGCAGAUAGAAGAUCUUUCUGUCUCUCCUUCUCUCUCUCUCCUACUCUGCCUUUCAAAUAAAUAUAAUAAAUCUUAAAAAAAUAAAAUAAAAUAAAAUGGAAAACUGAACUUUCUAUGAGAUCCAGGUAGAGUUUAUGCCUUCAGAAUCUACUUUUCUGGAGAAGUUGGUAGGAUUCCCUCAAGUCUGUAGCAAAAAGAUGAGAAGGGAAAAGUAGACAGCCCUGCCAUGAGGUCUUCUCUGGACAGCUGUCCCAGGUAGUGUAGCUGUGAGUACUGUGAGCACAGGAACCAGAAGUGGUCCUGCUGACCUGGUAUCGAAACCCCUGCUUCCUUCUCCUGGCCAAGCAGGGGGUUCUGGAUGCAGCAAGACAUGUUCCCCAGGGAGGUGUCUCUGAUGACCA